rnacentral:rRNA from 1 species
GCAAGUCGAACGGAAACGAAGAAGAGCUUGCUCUUCAGGCGUCGAGUGGCGGACGGGUGCGUAACGCGUAGGAAUCUACCUUAUAGUGGGGGACAACUCGAGGAAACUCGAGCUAAUACCGCAUAAUCCUUACGAGGGAAAGCGGGGGAUCUUCGGACCUCGCGCUAUUGGAUGAGCCUGCGUCGGAUUAGCUAGUUGGUAGGGUAAUGGCCUACCAAGGCGACGAUCCGUAGCUGGUCUGAGAGGAUGAUC